rnacentral:rRNA from 1 species
UACGUAGGUCCCGAGCGUUGUCCGGAUUUAUUGGGCGUAAAGCGAGCGCAGGUGGUUUAUUAAGUCUGGUGUAAAAGGCAGUGGCUCAACCAUUGUACGCAUUGGAAACUGGUAGACUUGAGUGCAGGAGAGGAGAGUGGAAUUCCAUGUGUAGCGGUGAAAUGCGUAGAUAUAUGGAGGAACACCGGUGGCGAAAGCGGCUCUCUGGCCUGUAACUGACACUGAGGCUCGAAAGCAUGGGGAGCAAACAGG